rnacentral:rRNA from 1 species
AGUGAACGCUGGCGGUAGGCCUAACACAUGCAAGUCGAACGGCAGCACAGGAGAGCUUGCUCUCUGGGUGGCGAGUGGCGGACGGGUGAGGAAUACAUCGGAAUCUACUUUUUCGUGGGGGAUAACGUAGGGAAACUUACGCUAAUACCGCAUACGACCUACGGGUGAAAGCAGGGGAUCUUCGGACCUUGCGCGAUUGAAUGAGCCGAUGUCGGAUUAGCUAGUUGGCGGGGUAAAGGCCCACCAAGGCGACGAUCCGUAGCUGGUCUGAGAGGAUGAUCAGCCACACUGGAACUGAGACACGGUCCAGACGCCUACGGGAGGCAGCAGUGGGGAAUAUUGGACAAUGGGCGCAAGACUGAUCCAGCCAUACCGCGUGGGUGAAGAAGGCCUUCGGGUUGUAAAGCCCUUUUGUUGGGAAAGAAAUCCAGCUGGCUAAUACCCGGUUGGGAUGACGGUACCCAAAGAAUAAGCACCGGCUAACUUCGUGCCAGCCGCCGCAGUAA